rnacentral:lncRNA from 1 species
CCUGAAAGUUUUCUAAUGGUUUCCUUCCUAUAGAAGGCCAAAGCAAACAAAUUAAUGUGAUGUGACGUGCAUUUAGGUGUACUCUGUAUAGGUUUCCCAAUAAUAUUGCUAAACACCUUUCCCUAUUUUCCAUUUGUACACAUCUAAACACCAUAUUGGGAAAAACUACAAAGCUUUCAAAAACAUAAACAGGCUUGUGUUCUUUUUGUUAAGUAAGUUGACAUAUUCAACAUAGGAAUACUUUUGUAAAACUUCUACAAUAAGUUUUCGUAUCAUAAUUU